GACGACCAUAGCAAGGUGGCCCACUCCUUCCCAUCCCGAACAGGACAGUGAAACGCCUCGCCGAUGAUAGUGGACGUACGUCUGUGAAAGUAGGUCAUCGUCAGCU
rnacentral:rRNA from 1 species